CUUCAUCACAGACUAAAUAAUCCCAGUUCCCUCAGCCUCUCCUCAUAAGUCAUGUGCCCCAGCCCCCUAAUCAUUUUUGUUGCCCUCUGCUGGACUCUUUCCAAUUUUUCCACAUCCUCGUUGUAGUACCCUGUUUCCCCGAAAAUAAGACAGUGUCUUAUAUUAAUUUUUGCUCCCAAAGAUGCGCUAGGUCUUAUUUUCAGGGGAUGUCUUAUUUUUCAGAAAUGAAAAAUGCCUUAUUAUCGGUGGAUGCCUUAUUAUCGGGGAGGUCUUAUUAUCGGGGGGAUGCCUUAUAUUACAACGAGAGGCAAAACUAAUCCCAAGAUUCACUGGGACACUUCACGUAACAACUCUAGCACAUACUGACAGGACUAAAACUUCCUACAGACUCCGCCCCCAUCAGAUACAACAGAACACCAAACCAAGAGCACAACUUAGCACAAAGUGCAGGGGGCUGGUGCAGGUGACCUCUUGAGGUCUCUUUCAGGACAGUCUAGAAGUCUAUCCAAAUUCUUGCUGGUCUCCAGAACAGCCAUGCCCAAGCAGGGAAGUUGUAUGGAUUCUGAGCUGUCUGCAGACAUCGGAAAUGGGGACUGAGCAGUGCAAAGACUAUUGGGCAUUACUGGGUAUGUGACGGUUUCAUUUACAGCUGAUAUCACAAUCCCACCUCUCACCAGUGAAGCUCUCCAUAGGGCAACAGCAGAGGGCAGCAGAAGAGGGAGGGGAAGGAGGCACGGAAGAGAGCUGAAGACGUGAAGGCAGCUACUUCUCAUGCUGCAAUCUCACUGUGACGUUAUUGACAAACUGUGACUUAUAGAUCAUUGUUGCAAGCACUGUUAUAUAUCUGAAGCAAAUAUUGUACAAAAGCUGUCAUGUGAGGUGUCUAUAAAGAAGUUAUGAUUUGCUAGUUAUGAUUACGCUAUCUGUAUGGGUGUAUCAUUUUUGUAGUUGAAGUUAUGAAUAUUGGCAAUGUAUUUGUAUCUCAAUGUGUUUGAUUCUAAAUAGCCUCAGUGAAGCAUUUGGUCAGCUUCUUGAGAAAGGACUAUUCUCAGUAAGUGCCCAAUCAAGAAACACUUAACUGACAGUGAACUUUGGGAGAUGCCAAUCCACAUCUGAGCUUUCCUGGGAACGUUCAAACUAACAUGUAAACAAUGGCAUUGGCCUGUAAAGAACUGAAUCAUACAUGGAUAUGUGACUUGCCCAUGUGACUCCAAACUCCAUCUUGCUGCUGUGAUCUUCCACAGGGCAGAGAAUAUAAAAAGCUCUGGAAACCUCUCCAUUUUGUCUUCAGUCCUGCUUCUUACUUCUGGAGGAACUUGCUGCAAACUGAAGCUCUGAACAAAGGACUGAAUAACCCAUCCCAGCUGUGGAUGUACUCAGAGGUUUGAUUUGAACCUGCAGCUUAUUCCAUCACUGCUACAAGUCUGAAACAAGAAUUUUGCCAUUACUGUAUGUAAUUGAUUCCAUUUAACCAAUUCUAGAU